GCUGAGAGUUCGCGUCUCUCCCGCUCUGCACUGUGCUGAGAGUACGCGUCUCUCCCGCUCUACACUGUGCUGAGAGUACGCGUCUCUCCCGCUCUGCACUGUGCUGAGAGUACGCAUCUCUCCCGCUCUGCCCUGUGCUGAGAGUACGCGUCUCUCCCGCUCUGCACUGUGCUGAGAGUACGCAUCUCUCCCGCUCUGCCCUGUGCUGAGAGUAUGCGUCUCUUUCGCUCUGUACAGCGGGAGAAUAUGAGACACUAUGAAUUGCCUGGGAGCAAUAAACAAUGAGCAGUGGAGCAAUACGCCAACACAUUUACCAUGAAUACCAUCAAAAAUCGACCUGAAACUGACAUUCAAUCAGCUCUGAAAAAACUUCAGAACUUAUCAUCAGGUACCCGACUCUGUAAUCAGUAUGAAGAUUUAAAGUAGAAUUUAGAAUAGAAUAUUAUUGUCUGGUUUGAGGACAGAUUGUUUCUUAUUGAAUAAGAAUAAAUCUUGUGUUUCUACAGAAUCAAAGCCUGUGGUUCUGGUGGUUCUUCAUCACACAUUUGAUCCGGAGAUAACAGUACCAGACAGCAGCAGGAGUGUGAACAGAGUAAAUACUCUCACUGUGGACUGUCUGUUUCAUGAGGAUAGAGGAUUACUGCAGUACUACAGGAACCAGGAAGCUCUGGAGAAAGUUACACACUGGAUCAAACAUCUGCAGAAGAAAGGAACUUCUGAAAUGAGAGAAGUAAAAGCAGCUACAACAGGAAAUGCAGAGUUAAUCAACAAACUUCAGAGAAAUUAUAAACUCCUCAAGCAGCUGCAGAAAAUACCAUCAAUCAAGAAAACAAUUCCAGCACAACUACUUAGUGAACUAGAAAAAGAACUGAAAGAUCAUCCUUUAUUGCUGGUUCAGAGUAUGGAUGACCAGAAGAUGUGUGUAUGCUCCUGAAAUAAUUAACUGUAUUUCCCACAAGGGCUGGGUAAAUAAAAAAAAUCUGAUCUUAUUACUGUUUUUCA
rnacentral:lncRNA from 1 species